GGGGGCAUAGCUCAGUUGGGAGAGCAACAGACUGAAGUUCAAUGUAGCCCUCAGGGUGAUACCAAUCUUCUGGAGGUCCCCAGUUCAAUCUUGGGUGCCCCCA